GUACAUGUCGAGGUCCAGCCCAGCCCAGCCCAGCACACGGGACGCACCACCAAUCCAAAACCAUUUCCCCUUUCGCCUGGUUCCUGCCCUCCCCACGCCGCACCGCCGCCUCCGCCCACCGACGCCGUCCCGCUCGUUCUCCUCCGCCGGAACCCACCGGAGCACGCGUCGAAGCGGAGCAAAUCUCUGCACGUCUCCUAAAGGAUCUGGAUCGGCUCCUGCUACUCCUCCUCCCUCUGUCGCAGCGCCGAGUUGCCGGAGCAGAUGGUGGGAUUUGGUAGCCUUGCGCCCAAGACCAAGAACCUGGUGGUGGGCGGUGGGCUGACAGGGUUCGUCUUUGGGGUGUACUACUACACCAUGAGAGCGGUUGGCAGCACUGAUGAGCUGCAGGUCGCCAUCGACAAGUUUGAAGACCUGAAGAAGAAGGACGCCGCAGCCACCCCCGCCGCAAACCCCUCCACCCCAGGCUCAUCGUAGGAAAAAACAUGCUCUUAAACUUUUGUUUCCCUGUACCGAGCUUCUAAACUAGUUACCUCACAAUUUGCAUGAUGAUAAUGGGUCAUGUUAGAUAGAGCUUUUUAUGGCAUGGGUGAAGUCCAGAUUUUUUUUUUUUGAGGGUAAGUGAAGUCCAGAAUUAGUAAUGCUUUUGUGUUGGUUAUGGUGGCCGCGGAUAUACUACUGCUGGAGUAGAAUUUUUGGAGGCACAUUAUUGCGGUUUGUUGCUAUAUUACAUUCAUUUCGUUCUUA